UACGGGGGGGGCAAGCGUUGUUCGGAAUUACUGGGCGUAAAGGGCUCGUAGGCGGCCAACUAAGUCAGACGUGAAAUCCCUCGGCUUAACCGAGGAACUGCGUCUGAUACUGGAUGGCUUGAAUCCGGGAGAGGGAUGUGGAAUUCCAGGUGUAGCGGUGAAAUGCGUAGAUAUCUGGAGGAACAACGGUGGCGAAGGCGGCAUCCUGGACCGGUAUUGACGCUGAGUGAGCGAAAGCCAGGGGAGCAAACGGG
rnacentral:rRNA from 1 species